UACCAGACUCCUACGGGAGGCAGCAGUGAGGAAUAUUGGUCAAUGGGCGCGAGCCUGAACCAGCCAAGUCGCGUGAGGGAGGACGGCCCUACGGGUUGUAAACCUCUUUUGCCUGGGAGCAACGGGCGUCACGUGUGGCGCCACUGAGAGUACCCGGAGAAAAAGCAUCGGCUAACUCCGUGCCAGCAGCCGCGGUAAUACGUAGGGGGCAAGCGUUAUCCGGAUUUACUGGGUGUAAAGGGAGCGUAGACGGCCAGACAAGUCUGAAGUGAAAAUCCAGCGCUUAACGUUGGAAGUGCUUUGGAAACUGCCGGGCUAGAGUGCAGGAGGGGCAGGCGGAAUUCCUAGUGUAGCGGUGAAAUGCGUAGAUAUUAGGAGGAACACCAGUGGCGAAGGCGGCCUGCUGGACUGCAACUGACGUUGAGGCUCGAAGGCGUGGGGAGCAAACAGGAUUAGAUACCCGAGUAA
rnacentral:rRNA from 1 species